rnacentral:rRNA from 1 species
UACGUAGGUGGCGAGCGUUAUUCGGAUUUAUUGGGCGUAAAGGGUCCGCAGGGGGUUCGGCAAGUCUGGUGUGAAAGCCCGCGGCUCAACCGCGGAACGGCACUGGAAACUGCCGAACUAGAGUUCUGGAGAGGAGCGCGGAAUUCCCGGUGUAGCGGUGGAAUGCGUAGAUAUCGGGAGGAACGCCAAAGGCGAAGGCAGCGCUCUGGACAGAUACUGACCCUCAUGGACGAAAGCCGGGGGAGCAAACAGG